rnacentral:rRNA from 1 species
UACGUAGGGUGCGAGCGUUAAUCGGAAUUACUGGGCGUAAAGCGUGCGCAGGCGGUUUUGUAAGCCAGAUGUGAAAUCCCCGGGCUUAACCUGGGAAUGGCAUUUGGGACUGCAAGGCUUGAGUGUGGCAGAGGAGACUGGAAUUCCCGGUGUAGCAGUGAAAUGCGUAGAUAUCGGGAGGAAUACCGAUGGCGAAGGCAGGUCUCUGGGCUGACACUGACGCUCAUGCACGAAAGCGUGGGGAGCAAACAGG